rnacentral:ncRNA from 1 species
UCUUAUCCAGAAAAGCUGAGGGAUCAGGCCCGAAGACGCUUUGGCAACCGUCUCGCAUUUAAUAUUGCGGGGAAAAGGUGCCACUUCCUGCUCCGGUUAUCCGGGGAAAGAUGAGA